rnacentral:rRNA from 1 species
UACGUAGGGACCAAGCGUUGUUCGGAUUUACUGGGCGUAAAGGGCGCGUAGGCGGCUUGACAGGUCACUUGUGAAAUCUCCGGGCUUAACUCGGAACGGCCAAGUGAAACUGUCAUGCUAGAGUGCAGAAGGGGCAAUCGGAAUUCUUGGUGUAGCGGUGAAAUGCGUAGAUAUCAAGAGGAACACCUGAGGUGAAGACGGGUUGCUGGGCUGACACUGACGCUGAGGCGCGAAAGCCAGGGGAGCAAACGGG